rnacentral:rRNA from 1 species
UACGUAGGUGGCGAGCGUUGUCCGGAUUUAUUGGGCGUAAAGCGCGCGCAGGCGGUUCGGUAAGUCUGUCGUGAAAUCUCCCGGCUCAACUGGGAGGGUGCGGUGGAGACUGCCGGACUGGAGGCACGCAGAGGCCGGUGGAAUUCCCGGUGUAGUGGUGAAAUGCGUAGAGAUCGGGAGGAACACCAGUGGCGAAGGCGGCCGGCUGGGGGGGACCUGACGCUGAGGCGCGAAAGCGUGGGGAGCGAACCGG